GAGUGGAGAGAACAGAAUGAAACCUGGACAUAGAAAAUAUGUCUGUGAUCUCACACUGGACCUAAACACAGUAAACAGACUCCUCUCUCUGUCUGAGGAGAACAGAAAGGUGACAUGGAGGAGAGAGGAGCAGCUGUAUCCUGAUCACCCAGAGAUUUGAGGACUGUGAACAGGUUCUGUGUAGAGAGGGUCUGACUGGGCGCUGUUACUGGGAGGUAGAGUGGAGUGGAAUAAUGGGGGCUGUUAUAGGAGUGACAUAUAAAGGAAUCAGCAGGAGAGGAGAGGGUAGGGACUGUUGGCUUGGACACAAUGACAAGUCCUGGAGUCUGUACUGCUGUGACAACAGUUACAUUGCCUGUCACAAUAAUAAACCCACUACCAUAAGGCGUCCCCUCCUCCAGCUCCCACAGAGUAGGAGUGUAUCUGGACUGGCCAGCCGGCACUCUGUCCUUCUAUAGAGCCUCCUCUGACACACUGACCCACCUGAUCACAUUCACCUCCACAUUCACUGAGCCCCUCUAUCCAGGGUUUCAUCUUUGGGGUGAUGGUGACUCAGUGUCCCUAAAAUAACAUGAAACACACAAUAAUAACCUGUAAAUAAUACACACACUGGAUACACACACACACACACACACACACACACACACACACACACUGGAUACACACACACACUGGACUGACACACACAGACACACACUGGACAACACACACACACACACUGGACUCACACACUGGACUCGCAUACACACACACACCCACACACACACACACACACACACACACACACACACACACACACACACACACACACACACACACUGGACACACACUGGACAAACACACACACACACACACUGGACAAACACACACACACACACACACACAUACACACUGGACACACACACACUGUACACACACACACACUGGACACACACACACACACACUGGACACACACACACACACACACACUGGACACACACACACACACACUGGACACACACACACACAAACUGGACACACACACACACUGGACACACACACACACACACAAACA